rnacentral:snRNA from 1 species
AAACUUACCUGUACAUGAUGUGUGAUCAGAAGGCACAUGGAAGGAUCUUCCAUUGCACUUUGGGAAGAUGGAACUCUAGGGUUUGUUUAAGUGACAAGGUCAACAUCAUAAUAAUAACUUAUGAUAGAGUUUGAAUCAAACA